AAGAUGCCUAAGUUCGAUCCAUGGCCUGUUUUCUUCAAGCGAGAGUGGCACCGAAACUGGCCGUUCCUGGUCGGUUUCGCCGUAACCGGUGCCAUUAUCACCAAAUUAUCUAUGGGCUUUACUGAGGAAGAUCGUAAGAACUCGCCCUUUGUUCAGAGGCACAAGAGGUGAUUUCUGAAAGGCCAGUAUGAUCUGGAGACAUGGAGACAUAUUGCGAUCUUUCAAUUCAGCUGUUAUUUUGACUUGAAUAAUGCAUAGCACCAUUACUAAAUGGUUCUUUUUUCCCCCUUUCUGGUUGAACUGAUCAUCUUUGAAAACAGAAAAACAAGAAUGCUUUGAACUGUGGCUUGAUAUGUAGUUUUGUAUCUGGGGAUCAGUUUGGGAGUUUCACUUUUCUUUGUUUACUGCUAAACCUUUAUGGCCAGUUUGAAAUGUUUGCGAUGGAAUCUCAUUGAGUUCAAAAUCUUUUUCUUUCA